rnacentral:rRNA from 1 species
CCUACGGGUGGCAGCAGUAGGGAAUUUUCGGCAAUGGGGGUAACCCUGACCGAGCAACGCCGCGUGAACGAAGAAGUCAUUCGUAAUGUAAAGUCUUUUUAACAGGGAAGCAACAGAAAUUUCACGGUACCGGAAGAAUAAUCUCCGGCUAACUACGGGCCCGCAGCCGCGGUAAUACGUAGGGGGCGAGCGGUAUCCGGAAUUAGUGGGCGUAAAGGGUGCGUAGAUGGCAUAGUAAGUCUUUUGUAAAAACGCUGGGCUCAACCCAGUAGGGCAAAAGAUACUGCAAAGCUAGAGUAUGAGAGAGGCAUGUGGAACUACAGGUGUAGCGGUGAAAUGCGUAAAUAUAUGGAAGAACACCAGUGGCGAAGGCGGCUUGCUGGGGCGAAACUGACAUUGAGGCACGAAAGCGUGGGGAGCAAACAGGAUUAGAUACCCCGGUAGUC